GUCUAAACUGCUCACAGAGCUUUCUUUUCACAAAACGAGCGAGAAACCAUCAACAGGGCAGGGAAGGCAAACACGUCUGCCCCACACUGCUUGUGCUUUCUUGGGUCACAGAGACACAUCCGAGCAGGUCAUGGGCUGCUUCCACCGACAGAUGUCCUGAUGUGAAGGAGAGUACCACUGAAGAAAAUGCCUGAACUGCUAUUAUCUGCAUCCUUCAAGCGCUUGACAGGAUUACGACGUGCCGUUAACAUUAGCCUCAGCACAGUGUCUGGAUGAUCAGCCAUGCCUCUUGUAAAUGUCCCACAUAAACCCUGCAGGCCAUGGGCGGUCACCAUGUGAGAGACAGCAUGGCUCCAUCAGUUGGUUACUGCGGGAUUUCUGCAAAGUAUGGUUCAGAGGAUGUCAGGUCUGUUAGGACCCCUGGGCUGGGAGGGGAAAGGUAGAGGAGGGGUCAGUGACCAGCACAGGACAGAAAAGCAUCUUAAGCAAAUAUUGGAUUGUGAGCAUCGAAGAGAAACAACUCAAGAGGGCCUUCCAGCUGGCUCUAGCUGGCACCCGUUCAAUUCUUCCGGCCAUGAU
rnacentral:lncRNA from 1 species